rnacentral:lncRNA from 1 species
AGGCAGGCUGUAUUUGACCCGAGGGUACCAUUUCUGAUGCUGGAGUUCUUUUGAAGAAACUAAGAGCUGUGGCAGAAUAAGCUAGUAGAUGAGGAUAGGGUGAAUAAAGCACAAGUACCAACUGGUUUUACUGAGGCUGAAUUGGGGAAGAGGAUCCAGGAUCCUGAGAUGAAGUCUGGAGAAGGGAGACGCUCUUAGAUGAGCAGUCAUUGUAUCUCUGAGCUUUUGAUUUUCGUGUUUGCUCCUUCUACCUGGAGUCUCUGGGAGGCAAGGAAGGAUGAAGAUCUAAAGGCAAUUGCUGAAUGCCUCCUGUACAACAGGCAUUAUUCAAUUUGCUGGCGACAGAGAUGAGAAUGAUACAAACUCGAGUCUCAAAGAGCUCACAGUCUUGUCUGAAGAAGGAGAGGGCUGGUAGACAGCAAGGAAGUCAUGUGACUAGAAGGAACCUCGGUGAGGAUUGGAUAAAGGGUUUACAUACAGAUUCUGAACUGGAAGAGAGGGCAAAGAGCAAAAGGCGAGGCCACCUGAAUCUGACACCAUAAACAAGCUUUCUCAGAACUUAAAAGAGCUUUCCCAGCGACACCCAUUUAUCAUUGGCUGGAACUGGGUCACGUGGACCAAGAUGCAAACGCUUGUGUUCAAAGGAUUCAUGUUUGCCUAUUUAAGGUCCCUACGGGAGUAUCAUUGCCACAGGAAUGGGUGCCACAUUUUAUGAAGCUAGAGACCACACUGCAAAGAAAAUGCCCGAAAGCAGUCAUUUCUCCGGCCUGGAAUUAAAAGUGACCCCCUUUCAUAUUUCCUUGGGCUCUGCAGGCCGAAGUGGAGACCCUAUUUGCCAAGUCUCAGCCACAGUUAAUUUACUUUCGUUUUAUUUUUCCUUACUCCUGAAUUGAAUUAUCACCUUCCUGAAGAGCCGUGUGUGUAAUGGAAAAGCUGACACCAGCCAAAGUGGAGUAUUGCAGCCCAAAUGAGGCUCCUAUUAUUGCCCUGUUACGGGAGGAACGGGCUUCUGUUUGCCCUUCAUUCAUCACCUGCUGACUGUGAAACCAAGUCGAGCUGCUUUGUUUUAAUGGCAGUUGUUCUGCCCUGACCUAUGCUGCUCGCCCACCCUGCUCCAGGAGCAAACAGAUGAGUUCCAUUUGGAGCUGAACUUACUGUGCAUGAAAAUCACGAGGGCAACGAGAUUUUUUCUUCGCCUUCAUGCAACGGGGAGCAUUAAGCACUGCAUUCUGUCCCUUGAAGUCCAGAACAGGACACCUGGCUAACGGGCACCCUAUGAGACCAUCUUAUCACACUUUUCAGACCGAAGGACCUCAGCUUUGUGCUGUCCCUCCUGCUAAGGCCUUUAAAGAUCCCUCCUAAGGUUUCCAUACGCAAGUGUGUUAAAAAUAUAUCCGAGGAAAUGAUUUUCAUAGUGGAUGUUUCCUGGCUUGUGUCACACACUAUAUAUACUUCCAAUUAGGACUAUUUAUUCCUCCCUCCACCAUGCCCCGAAGCAAGGUCCAUUUGUGAAAUCUAAUUAAACCUGCUUAUUUCCUUGGAAUGAAGGACAUUUUUAGAUCUUUCACUAGGCACGCUCCUCCUGUCUGGAAGAAUUUUGUUUGUUGGUGCGUUUUAGUCUUUCUGGGGGAGGAGGGAUAGUUUUUGUUAGUUUUUCUGAGAACCCAAAAUGAUUGGAGACCUUUUAUUUACUUAUUUUUUAAACACCAGUUUCCACAGGACACUGUGAAGGAGCCAGUGCAGACUCCCUUUAGUGAAGCUCUUUCCUUGGGUUCUAAAAGCUCCUUUGUUCUCAAUUCCCAUUACUUUUCUCUCUGACUGUGGAUGGUCUCCCCUCUCCCCACAGAGCUGAGAGUUCAUGGCUGUUUCUAAUCCAUAAUUAGCUGAAAUAGAAAAAUACUCUCCUUGAGGUAAUAAUUCUCCUGCAUUUGCCGCUCUUCGCCCAUCACAAUGCAAAACAGAACAUUCUCAGACCAUGUAUGAUCACUGACAUUGCCACAGGCACCAAAAAAUUUAUUUUUUUAAGCAGCUUUGCUAAGAUGGGGCUGUCCUUGGCCUCAUAUCUGUGGUGAAUCUAAAGGAGUCAGUGAAAGCAGAAAGGAGGCAAAUAAAAUGCAGAUUGACUCUGGGAAACAUCCAUUUCAUUGGCUCUGCUUACUGGAGAAGUGGCCCAUGGAAGAUUAUGUCACCUUUUGCACCAAGUUAACGCGGCUGUUUGUCAAGUGAGACGAGAAUUCUUUGUAUUUGUAUUCUUACCUAGCUCACAUUUUUAACGAUGUCUCUUCUCCAUUUCUCAUCCAGACAUUUUUCCCUAUCUGCUUUCAAUGCUAAUGUGUCCCUGUCCUGUUUUUCAAAUUAAAUACCACACUUAAAAUAUUAAUACCCCUUGCUCUUUGAUUCUUUGUUUAUUCAUCUUAUGCAAAACACAACAGUGAGCUUCCAUCUGUAUUAAAUGCUACUGUAUGGGCCAAUUCAAUGACUUAUUAAUGACUGUUCCAUGAUAUGGAGGGCUAGGCUUUAUAUAAUCAUGCAAUUCUUAUUCAGAAAUGCUCC